rnacentral:rRNA from 1 species
GAUUUCUGACUUGGCGCACCUAGCCCGCCACGGUUACGUGUGUGAGUGCCGGGAUGCGCCUGUCACUUUUCUGGUAAACUAUUGUGCUCUUCAUUGAGUGUGAUAGGUAGCCAGAUAUUUUACUUUGAAAAAAUUAGAGUGUUUAAAGCAGGCGUUUGCUAUGAAUACAUUAGCAUGGAAUAAUAAGUUAGGACUUCGGUUCUAUUUUGUUGGUUUCUAGAACGGAAGUAAUGAUUGAUAGGGAUAGUUGGGGGUGCUAGUAUUCAGUGGCCAGAGGUGAAAUUCUUGGAUUCACUGAAGACUAACUUAUGCGAAAACAUU